CAAGGUAUCACAUAAGAAACAUCUCAUGAUGGUUAAAAGCAAAGAGCUCUCUCAAGACCUUUAUUGCAAAAUAUACUGAUGGCAUUGGUUACAGAAAGAUUUCUAAACUUCUGAAUGUUCCAGUGAGCAAUGUUGGGGCCAUAAUCCGGAAGUGGAAAGAUCAUCCUUUCACCAUAAACUGGUUACGAAUAGGUGUUCCUCGCAAGAUUUCUGACAGAGGAGUGAAAAUAAUUAUCAGAAGAGUUAUCCAAGUCAGAGCCAAGGACCACUUGUGUAGAGCUUCAGAAAGACCUGGAAUUAGCAGAUUCCUCAAAGUAGCCCCCUUUUGCUUUAAUGACCCCUGGAGAGGAGAGUUUGCAGAGGGACGCACACUUUGGAGGCCGAAAAGCAUCUAAAAUGGGGGUUUUGAUGGAGCAUAUUGUGCUUGCGUCUGUGACAGACGGAGACUACAGAGGAUUGGUGAGGAACGCAGAGAAGAUCGUUGGAGCCGUUCUCCCCUCUAUUCAGGACCUCUACCUGUCCAGAGUCAAGAAGCGUGCAGGAAAUAUUGUGGCAGACUAGUUGCACCCUGGUCACGUCCUGUUUGAAACACUUCCAUCAGCAGGCGUUAUAGGUCCAUACUCGCCAAGUUGACCAGAACCAAAAAAAGCUUCUUUCCACUAGCUGUCCACUUACUAAAUUAUGCCUAACAAGUCUUCUGCAAUGAACUGCUAUGUAAUUGUAAACAGUAUUUUAUACUAAUGUAUGUUAUGUGUGUUUUUGUUAUGCCUUUUCCUUUUAUGUUAUUUGGCGAAGCAUUGUAAACCGCAAACAAUUCCUAGUACACGUGAGUAUACAUGGCCAAUAAAGUCAAUUCUGAUUCUGUUGUGGGAUCAAUGGCCUGUUUUUUUUUUAAAUUUAACUUACCUGUAUCUCCGGACCGCGUGCUCUGGUUAUACACCACAUUAUGUGUAACAUUUGGUGUUACUGCCAUUUCUCGAAUGCCAGUAGGUGACCAGUUUAUUAAAGCAUCAUGACAUCCAGAAUCCAUUUCUGAAUUAGUACAGUAAGUGAGUGCAUUGUACAUAAAAGAAUGAUCUUGAAAAUCAUAAAAUACAUUUUAUUAUUAAUAAAAUAUUCAAACUCGUAAAUUUUAUGUUGGAAAAUGCUCAUAACCUUUC